AGAGUUUGAUCAUGGCUCAGGAUGAACGCUAGCGGCAGGCCUAACACAUGCAAGUCGAGGGGCAGCGGGGGUAGCAAUACCCGCCGGCGACCGGCGCACGGGUGCGUAACGCGUAUGCAACCUGCCCAUUCCCGGGGGAUAGCCCGCCGAAAGGCGGAUUAAUACCCCAUGGACCCUUAGCCCCGCAUGGGGCGGAGGGUAAAGCUCCGGCGGGAAUGGAUGGGCAUGCGUGCCAUUAGCUAGCUGGCGGGGUAACGGCCCACCAGGGCUACGAUGGCUAGGGGGUCUGAGAGGAUGAUCCCCCACACUGGUACUGAGACACGGACCAGACUCCUACGGGAGGCAGCAGUGAGGAAUAUUGGUCAAUGGGCGGAAGCCUGAACCAGCCAUGCCGCGUGCAGGACGACGGCCCUACGGGUUGUAAACUGCUUUUCCGGGGGAAGAAUAAGGCCCAUGCGUGGGCCGAUGCCGGUACCCCGGGAAUAAGGAUCGGCUAACUCCGUGCCAGCAGCCGCGGUAAUACGGAGGAUCCUAGCGUUAUCCGGAUUUACUGGGUUUAAAGGGUGCGUAGGCGGGCCCCUCAGUCAGCGGUGAAAGUCUGCGGCUCAACCGUAGGAUUGCCGUUGAUACUGGGGGUCUUGAAUUCGGUCAAGGUGGGCGGAAUGCGUGGUGUAGCGGUGAAAUGCUUAGAUAUCACGCAGAACGCCGAUAGCGAAGGCAGCUCACCGGGCCGACAUUGACGCUGAGGCACGAAAGCGUGGGGAUCAAACAGGAUUAGAUACCCUGGUAGUCC
rnacentral:rRNA from 1 species